GGACCCAGGCUGACCAACUGGGUAGCAGAAUUUCCGAGUGGAGUCUCACAAUGUUCCAGUAUCGAUGGUGUGUCAGAAACCAGAAACAUCGAACCAGACAAACGGCUUUGUACACAGUGUGCGACCCGCUGCGGCUACCAACGCCACUAUGACGCACGGAUACGUGAUGGGGAGGUGGGAAGUGUAGAACGGAGCAGUGCAGGUGGAAAGAGGCAGAACUGGAAACACGACAGCUGGUGCCGGGUGUGAGAGAAGGCUGCGGCUGAUGGAGUAACGGAGCAUCGGAGCAUCGUCUAGUGGGAUCGGUAGGUAGGGUGCAGUGGCCUGGAACUUGUGCGGACUCGGACCAGUUUACCUGAUUGGACCUCCUUGAAAAUCCUGCAUGUCCUGUACUUCCCCGGGAAGCCAUGCUGGAGACCACGUGGAUGUUCGUGGUGUGCGGUGUAGCCAGAUACUAUGUAGAAGUCCAGGCACCGUGCUCCUGCUGACUGUAAAAGGAAUUCAACGAAGGAACUGAAGCAGAAACCACAAAUGGAUGCUACUCACCGUCCUGUUUUCUUAUACAACCCAGGACCACAGGCCCAGAGGCGGCACCAUCCACAGCAGGCCUUCCACAUCAACCAUCAAUCAAGAAAACGCCCCACAGACACACGCCUUCAGCCAAUCUGAUCAUACACGUAUCUUUUUGUGGUACCAAGCCUAAUGUUUUGUAGACAGGACUCAGGUAUAAUGACUGAGAUGGAUAAGACUGAUAAAAUAUGAACGUUCAGACCCUUGAGAUGGCUGAGCAGAUAAAUGUUCUUGCUGGACAGCCUGCCUUCCUGAGCAGCCCAGGAGUGCAUAUCAAGGUAACAGAAUCAAGUCCACAGAGCUGUUCUCUGGCCUCCCUGUGAGUACAUCCAUGAUGAACCCCAAUAAAAAAAUUAAAAACAAGAAAAUCAAGAGUAAACCAUAACCUGUUCAUCAGCAAGGUAACUGCUCUGGCUAGUUUGACGGCACUCGACACACACUGCAGCAGUCUGAGUGGGAGGGAGCCUCAACUGAGGAAGGCCUCAGAAAGUCAGCUGUAGGCAAGCCUGUCGGGCAUUUCCUUAGCUAGUGAUUGAUGGGGGAGACCCAACCGACUGUAGGUGGGGGUACACUGGGCCAGUGGUCCUGGGUUCUAUCGGAAAGAAAGCAGAGCUAGCCAGUUAACAGCACUCCUCCAUGGCCUCUGCCGUGGUUUCUGUCCUCCGUGCCUUCCUGUCCCGGCUUCCUUCAGUGAUAGUCAUGUGGAAUGGUAAUUCAAAGAAGCCCUUUCUCUCCCCAACUUGCUCUUGGUCAUGGUGUUUCAUCACAGCAACAGAAACUCUAAGACAGUAGGUGACUGCGACUGCUAAGGAAAAAUUCUAUUACUAAUGCCAAUCAAAGUAGUUAACAGCUUUUCCUUUUUUCUAGCGACCAAUUUGUGUGUGUGUGUGUGUGUGUGUGUGUGUGUGGUGUGAGUGCACGUAUGAUGGUGGAUGUGUAUUUAUGAAUAUGUGUGUGUCGGGGUGUGUGUGUGUGUGUGUGUGUGUGUGCACGCAUGUAUGUGUGCAUACUGAUUCCAGAACUUAGGUUCCCAACACCCACAUAGUAGGUUGCCUCAGAUCUGGCUAUAAUAUAACCAGUUCCAGGGGAUCCAACGCUCUCUUUUGAACUUUGUCGGCUCGAGGCUCGCAGGUGGUGCCCAUACACACACGCAGGGAAAACACCCAUACACAUAAAAUAAAUCUUUUUAAAAAAUUACAUGGGCUUGCUAAUACCAGCAGUUUUUAAAACACAGAAGUAGAUGAGAAUUUAGAAGACCAAGAGAAGCACCAGGACGGGGAGACUGUCCUAUUUUAAGGCAUUAUUCACUUGCAAAGUCAAUUCAAAAGCUCUAGCUGAAGUAUUCCUGAGCCCCAGUAACGCCCACAACCUGCUCCCUCCGCCCCACCAGAGACGCGGGGGCGGGGCUAGAGAAUGCCCGGAAGAGGCGGGACCUGGAGAGCGCCUUAGGGUUGCGGCGAGCUCCGCACUUCCUUUCCGCGCGGCGCCCGGGAGCGCAGGCUUCUCGUGCAGCAUGGCGGGCGGCGGAGGCCCGGGCCUGUGGAACCCGGCCUGUCCUCGGGCUCUUCCAGGUGCGAACCCCGCGCUCUGUCCCCCGUCAGUGCGGAGCGGGGCGCCCAGCUGACGGCGCCGGUCCCUUACCGGGUACGGUGGGCCACAAGGCCUGGUCUGCGCGGCCGCUCGCGUUCGCGUUCCCGCGCGCUCGGGCUUUAAAAUAACCUGCAGAUCCUGAACUGCUCGAGCUCGGGGGACAACAGCGCUUGGCGGCCCUUAGUUAAAGGCCUGCGCCUCGGGACGCAUCGAAGUGCGGGGAGGAGCGGCCGCUUCUGACUGCAGCUUUCGCUGGACCUGCACUGUGUCCACCAGAAGAGCCACGGUGCAACCUGGUUCAGGCUGCUUACGUGCAACAAAACCUGCCUCUUGAACGUGCUUGAACAAAUGUUUUCCAGAAACGUGUCACAGAACGCGAUUUAAAUAACCACCAGGACGGCAGUUGCCAGUACCAAGGUACAGGUAUUAAGCAUGUAGGUAGCUGCAGGUGAAAGUCCCACCUCAGGAGCUGUGAUGUUUAAAAACAUGUCAUUGUUUCGGUAAGUUUGCUCAGUCACAUGUCUUGAUUGAGCAGUAUUUGAUAACACUCAGGAACUGGGACCAGUUCCUUUUCAAAUCACAUUCGAAUGUCUGUUUCCUUGACAUUUUUUCAAAAGCUGUUGAGAUAAAUACCCGGACUUAGUUUUUGAGCUUGAGGAAAAAUACCAUGGGGUUCUCACUGUCUUUUUCCUU